GUGCCAGCAGCCGCGGUAAUACGUAGGGGGCAAGCGUUGUCCGGAAUUAUUGGGCGUAAAGCGCUCGCAGGCGGUCUUUUAAGUCUGAUGUGAAAGCCCACGGCUUAACCGUGGAGGGUCAUUGGAAACUGGAGGACUUGAGUACAGAAGAGGAGAGUGGAAUUCCACGUGUAGCGGUGAAAUGCGUAGAGAUGUGGAGGAACACCAGUGGCGAAGGCGACUCUCUGGUCUGUAACUGACGCUGAGGAGCGAAAGCGUGGGGAGCGAACAGGAUUAGAUACCCUGGUAGUCC
rnacentral:rRNA from 1 species